AGCGGCCCCUGCGACGAACUUAAGGCUUAAAUUGUUUGACGAGGCAAUCGUCUCAACUGUCGCGAGUCUUCUCACGAUAAAUCUUCCUGACGUCGUCGCCAUGGCGCCCCUGACGAGGCUUCACAAAUUCGGGAUCGCCUUGUCGUUCUGGGCGAUUUUCUCCGUCAUCUCGUCCGCUGAGGCUGCACAAAAUGUGGACGGCAAGUGGACGGAUUGGUCACUUCUCGCCACGCCGUGCUCGAAGUCUUGCGGCGGUGGACUGAGAUUGCAAAUUCG
rnacentral:lncRNA from 1 species